rnacentral:rRNA from 1 species
AACUAACGCUGGCGGCGUGCCUAACACAUGCAAGUCGUACGAGAAAGUUGGCUUCGGCCGAUGAGUAAAGUGGCGCACGGGUGAGUAACGCGUGGAUAAUCUGCCUUUUAGUUGGGAAUAACGUACCGAAAGGUGCGCUAAUACCGGAUAAUACUGCAUAACUACUGUUGUGUAGUCAAAGAAGGCCUCUGUUUACAAGCUUUUGCUGAAAGAUGAGUCCGCGUACCAUUAGCUAGUUGGUAGGGUAAUGGCCUACCAAGGCUACGAUGGUUAGCUGGUCUGAGAGGAUGAUCAGCCACACUGGAACUGAGACACGGUCCAGACUCCUACGGGAGGCAGCAGUGAGGAAUAUUGCGCAAUGGGGGCAACCCUGACGCAGCAACGCCGCGUGAGUGAUGAAGGUUUUCGGGUUGUAAAGCCCUGUCAGGUGGGAAGAAACCUCCUUGAGUAAAUAGCUCAAGGAACUGACGGUACCACCAAAGGAAGCACCGGCUAACUCCGUG